rnacentral:rRNA from 1 species
GACGGAAGGUGCAAGCGUUGCUCGGAAUCACUGGGCGUAAAGGGUGCGUAGGCGGCUUGUCGCGUCGGCUGUGAAAUCCCGUGGCUCAACUGCGGGUCUGCAGCCGAUACGGGCAGGCUAGAGUUCGGUAGGGGAGACUGGAAUUCCUGGUGUAGCGGUGAAAUGCGCAGAUAUCAGGAGGAACACCGGUGGCGAAGGCGGGUCUCUGGGCCGAUACUGACGCUGAGGAGCGAAAGCGUGGGGAGCGAACAGG